GAGAACAGAGAGGAGCGGAAAGAAGAGCAAGACAUGAGCUGUGAUCACCGAUGAUCCUAGGAAACCUCUUCUCCCUCUGACUAGGAUGAAGAGAUAUUUAAUCUCUCUCCUCAGGAAGAAUAUUUCAAAAGAACUCCCUGUUUAUUGUGGCACUAUUGGAGAAAAAAGUCAGAAAAGUUUGGCUGGGAUCACAGAGGACAAACCAAUAGCAAACACCAAACACAAAUCAGUAGCAGUGUCUUGAUCCAGCAGAAAUCAAGAGGCUCCAUGGAAUCAAUAUGAGACAGUAGAAGCAGCAAGAAGCAGCCGGAAUACCUCGAGAAGGUCAUUGGUACCGGGACGGAAUUUCCCAACUUCUUCAAGCCUGUCUCCAACUGUAACCUGUUCCUUAAGCUCGUGAUCAUGUUCCUGCUGUUUCAUACCCACAGGCUGUCUUAUCACAGAAUCUCCCAGUGAAAUGUAAUUUCAGAAAUUAAUUGUAUACUGAACCCCCUGGGAAACGAUGAGGCACCUUUUAGGUCACUUGCUAAAUGCCAGUCCCUGUUGUGGUACCCAGUUUGCAUCACUGUUGGAUAAAAAUCCACCACAUCUCCCUUCUCCCGACUUUCCAACAG